UGACGUUAGAGGGAAAUUGUUAUGGGCUAAUAUAUAAUGAUGGUAGAGGGAAAUUGUUGUGGGCUAAUAUAUAAUGAUGGUAGAGGGAAAUUGUUGUGGGCUAAUAUAUAAUGAUGGUAGAGGGAAACUGGAUACUUUGCAGUAUGACAUAUGUGUUGAAAAUGUAAAUUAUUUAGAAAAAUCAGAACUCUACUUCAGAAAAUAUAGAUAAGUAUUUUAUCAGUUAUUAUUUUACAAUUCAACAUUAACAAGAAUAUAAGAGACUAACAAAUGGCUAUCCUCAUAACAUACACUUACCAACCCCAUCACAUGCCAAUCUGGCUGGCACAGAUUUUGGAACAAUAUACGUAGAUAUGAGGACACCUAUGGACAUAGAUGAUUACAUUAUAUAUAUACAUAUAGACCGUGUGUUUUUAACUAUUACCUAGUCAUUAUGUUAAGGACUAACGGAUGUGAUAUACACAAGACCAGAGUCUGAUAUUGUUUGAGGGAUAGGUCUCAAAGGAAUGUACAGUUAGUCAUAUCAUAUGAUAAGUUGUUAUCUUUACUAAAUAUAUUUUAGAUAUUUCCUGGAGAGUAUCAAAUAAGAGGUAUAAUAUAUACCACAUUAUCAAACCGUCCAACUGACAUUUGCGAUGAAGUGUGAUAAAGAGAUAGGGUGAAUGAUCAAGCUUUUUGAUAAAACACCCCACUGAGGUAUUCCUCCUUGUUAAAGUAUCCCAUAGAGUUGUUGCUAUUUGUUACAGGGGCCCAUAUAGGUAUUCUUAUUUGAUACAAGGACCAUAGAGGUAUUCCUAUUUGAUACAUGGACCAUAGAGGUAUUCCUAUUUGUUACAGGGGCCCAUAGAGGUAUUCCUAUUUGUUACUGGAGCCCAUAGAGUUAUUCUUAUUUGAAACAUGGACCAUAGAGGUAUUCCUAUUUGUUACAGGGGCCCAUAGAGUUAUUCUUAUUUGUUACAGGGGCCCACGGAGGUUUUCCUAUUUGUUACAGGGGCCCAUAGAGGUAUUUCUAUUUGUUACAGGGGCCCAUAGAGUUAUUCUUAUUUGAAACAUGGACCAUAGAGGUACUCCUAUUUGUUACAGGGGCCCAUAGAGUUAUUCUUAUUUGAUACAUGGAGCAUAGAGGUAUUCCUAUUUGUUACAGGGGCCCAUAAAGUUAUUCUUAUUUGUUACAGGGGCCCAUAAAGGUAUUCCUUUUUGUUACAGGGGCCCAUAGAGUUAUUCUUAUUUGAAACAUGGACCAUAGAGGUACUCCUAUUUGUUACAGGGGCCCAUAGAGUUAUUCUUAUUUGAUACAUGGAGCAUAGAGGUAUUCCUAUUUGUUACAGGGGCCCAUAAAGUUAUUCUUAUUUGUUACAGGGGCCCAUAAAGGUAUUCCUUUUUGUUACAGGGGCCCAUAGAGUUAUUCCUAUUUGUGACAGGGGCCCAUAGAGGUAUUUUUAUUUGUUACAGGGGCCCAUAGAGUUAUUCCUAUUUGUUACAGGGGCCCAUAGAGUUAUUCCUAUUUGUUACAGGGGCCAUAGAGGUAUUCCUAUUUGUUAUAUGUGUCCUUAGGAGUAUUCCUAUUUGAUAUAGGGGCCCAUAUAGUUAUUCCUAUGUGUUACAGGGGUCCAUAGAGGUGUUCAUAUUUGAUAUAGGGGCCCAUAGAGGUAUUCCUACAUUUUAAGGGUGAAGUUAUACAACUUUCAAUAAUCACUGAUAAACAUUAUUCAACUGCCAAAAAAUUGAAAGUCACAGUUAAAUCCUUGCGUAUACUGAGAAAGGCCAAGUUAAAUCUGUACGAUCUGCUAAAAUAAAUUAUAAUUCACCCAUUUAGCACAACAUGACUUAAAUAUAUAAAUGCCCUGUACCUCAAGUCUAUAUGUUUCAAAUGAAAAAUCAUCUGGUAACUUAAUUGUAGGUAUUUCUUUUCAUAACAAUAGAAGAUUCAUAAUCAGUGAUUAUUUUUCAAUAGCUAAAUAUAUCCAGGGUGUACAGUAUGUUGUAUGCAUCUAUAGCAUGUUAUCUUACACUGAAUCUACUACCUUUGUACUGAGUAAAUAAAGGUCCACUUAAUGUUACAAACAGUUUAAUAAACUUAACAUUACAUCAUAUAGCUAUGAUGAUAUUACAACAGUGUUCAAAUUUAUGAAACACUUGUACUGAAACUCAAUUUUGAUUCCAACAGUGAAGGAAUUGUUCAUAAUUAAAACACAAUAUGUGUUAUGUCUUA